AUUCCAGGCUGUGGAUCCGGUCGUGGGAAGCAGGUAGGAAACCAUGAUUCUCGGGGUUAAAUGAAGAAAUAUAUUUAGUGCUCACAGAAAUUUAGAAAUUUAGAAAGCCAAAUAUUGGGUUAGCCGCCAGGAAUGGAGAGGGAAAAAACCCAAAGCAAACAGCAGAGGAAAGAAAUUCCUACCAGACAAGGUCCUUAUUCAUUCUCCCAACCCCAGGUGCAGGGGCCUGCAGGGGAGAGACCCGCUGAACUUAAGACUCUGAUCAAACCCCAGACUCGGACCCUGCGCUGCCCAUGGGGCCGACCGUCAAUAUCUGGAUUGGCAAUGGCACCCUAGAGCUCACUAAGUUGACCCUAAAGCCCUUUGGGAGCCAAGGGUGGGGGUGGGGAAGGAAUAACAAAGUAGAAAGUUCCUGGAUUGAGGUGGAAAAAUCAGUUUAACCUCCCUGGGCCUCAUCUACGGAAUGUAAGGGUUGGAUUAUGAUUUCACAGGUCAUAGCAUCCUACUAUUGUUUCUGCCUAAAAUAAGCAGCAAUAAGAAUGAGUGUGAGGAAGACCACAGCAGCAGGACCCACCUGUUUCUGAGGCCUAGGGAGAUGCAGUGAUAGAUUUCAGCUUAUUCCUCAUUCUCAGGUUUCUGUACCUUGACCCUCCAUAGAGUGAACUUCUAGGUUCUGAGCUGACUCCUUGGAAACCCUAGACUCCAGGGACGCGCUUCUAGAACCUGCUCAGAUUGCUACUCAGUUAACAGCCUGGCCCAGGAGGAUUGCAACACCCAGCCUGGCUCCCAGGCAAGCUAAAGAGGGCUUGAUGAUGGGAAGAGGUUAAGGGGUACGUGGAGAGAAAGAAGGAUCAGAAGGCGGAAACAUCAUAGACCUCCUGGGAUGCCUUCUGCAGGAUCACAGAGAAGGCAAAAUUUGUCCUCCUGACUACAAGAUGCCAAGAUACAUUUGUAUCGAGCCACUGAAUUCUCUACCCCUUCUGUAGAGGUGGUUGGGGAAGAGCUGCAGUAGGAAGCUGGGUCCCAAGUAAUGAAGGACCUUUAGAAGCAGAAGGUGUUAGGGUGGGGGCAAAGGACUGAACUCUGACCAACCAGAAGAAAGGAAAAACUGGAGUUCCUUUCCCCUAGUGAGCAUACAAAGGCUUUUCAUCCGCUGAACCCAGCGCAUCUGCUACCAUUUCCCUGGUCUCCGGUCAGAACUAGUGACUGUCCCAUAAACAGGUUCUGCUGGACUUCCAGUCAAGAUGGAGCGGGCCGCACACAUACAGAGCUGAACUUGUAUCGCCGUGUAGAUGAAGACAAACACCUUUAGGAGAUGGCAGAGAAACAAAAUGGGAAACCCUCAGGUCUCCAAAUGACUACACCAAGCAGAAUUGCCCCACCAGCCUGCACCAUUCAUUUCUAGACUAUGAGCAAGAAGUACACUUCCAUCUUAUUUAAACAACCA
rnacentral:lncRNA from 1 species